AUUGAACGCUGGCGGCGUGCCUAACACAUGCAAGUCGAGCGGUAACAGGUGUAGCAAUACAUGCUGACGAGCGGCGAACGGGUGAGUAAUGCUUCGGAAUCUACCCAAUGGUGGGGAAUAACCAGCCGAAAGGUUGGCUAAUACCGCAUACGUCCCACGGGAGAAAGCAGGGGAUCGCAAGACCUUGCGCCAAUGGAUGAGCCGAAGUCGGAUUAGCUAGUUGGAGGGUAACGGCCUACCAAGGCGACGAUCCGUAGCUGGUCUGAGAGGACGACCAGCCACACUGGGACUGAGACACGGCCCAGACUCCUACGGGAGGCAGCAGUGGGGAAUAUUGGACAAUGGGGGAAACCCUGAUCCAGCGACGCCGCGUGUGUGAAGAAGGCCUGCGGGUUGUAAAGCACUUUUUAGUGGGGA
rnacentral:rRNA from 1 species